ACUGCCCAAGGCAAUCUACAGAUUUAAUGCAAUCCCUAUCCAAUUACACAGGACGUAUUUCACAGAAGUAGAACAAAUCAUAUUUCAAUUUAUAUGGAAUCCCAAAAGAUCCAGAAUUGCCAAAGCAUUACUGAAG